GUACAACCUCAAAGAGCGUUACGCAGCCUGGAUGAUCUACACCUACUCGGGCCUGUUCUGUGUCACUGUCAACCCCUACAAGUGGCUGCCAGUGUAUAAUGCAGAGGUGGUGGCAGCUUACCGAGGCAAAAAGCGCCAGGAGGCCCCGCCCCACAUCUUCUCUAUCUCUGACAACGCCUACCAGUUCAUGUUGACAGAUCGGGAGAACCAGUCUAUUUUGAUCACGUAUGUAU
rnacentral:lncRNA from 1 species